rnacentral:misc_RNA from 1 species
UAUAUUAUUAGUUAAUUUUUUAAAAAUUUUGUGCUUCCUUCAAUGAAGUGAGCUUUUGUUUUGCACUUUGCACUUUAAGCAAUGGGUUGAUUCAUCGGUUUGAGUCUGCCUUGCGCUUUUAACUACCUUGAGCUGAAUAUUGAUCCUUAAGGUGUACUCACUAAGUAUUUGCUUGUGAUGAUUUAGAUAGUACAACUGAAAAUAUUAGAUAUCCAAUUCUAUCUGGAAAUAAGUGCUUGCCUAUAUGAGUAUCCAAGCUACUUAGUCGUUAAGAAGUGCGCCUUAAAAUUUAUUGAGUUUGGUCUUAACUUUAUUCUUUCUCCUAGCCAAGGGAAAUCACAUAGGGGAUGACAUAGAAACAUCAGUGGUGAUGCAGGAGGCAUUCUAUCUGCGCUAAAAUGACACAUAGGCUUUCGAAAUCAAUUGUUUCAAAAUGCAAGGCUAAAAUUUUGUAUGAAAUUGGUGAAUCAAAAUUUUGGUAUUUGCAUUUCUGUCCAUUUCUUGCGAUGCAAAUAUCAGAUUCUGAUCCAUCUCUUUGGCUUGGAAUAAAAUGACCAAUGUGUGUUUUGUGGAGCUGUAUUUAUUGCCUUGAAAAUACCAUGUAAAACAAAGUUGUCUAUCCAUUACAUUUGUAGGGGAAAGGGGAAAAAUGCAGUACUGUUUGCAUAGCAUGAAGUCCAUUCGAAGGACCAAUCCCCUGGUCACCUCACCUGGCAAUAGGAUCGACAUGGAGGUUGGAACUCUAAAUUUGGCCACUGCAUGAAAUGGAAAUUGGGUGUCUUCAUCAUACAUGCAAUUUGGGUUCCAUAUAUUUAAUGUAGAAAUUCAAGUGCACAAAUGAAUUGAGAAAACCAUGGGACGUGACUCUAGUGGGCCUCUAUAAAGACCAAUUUGCCAUGCAUGUAUCCUUAAUGCAAAUACACUUCUAGUUUGUUGUAUAACAAGACUUGAGAACACUAUGACUUUAUAAGUUUGUGACACUUCUUCUUUUAGAUUUUUAUCAUCAAACAUUAAGUAGGAGUAACCAUUUUAUUUUCUACUUACAACGCGCUACAUCGGAGCCCAAGUGUAGUGAGAAAUAUGUAAAGGUGUAGGACGUUCACCGAAAGCGACGCGCUAU